CGUUGCACUAUCGUUUGAUGAAUACAUAGUCAAACGAAGCGAACCGGGGGAACUGAAACAUCUCAGUACCCCGAGGAAAAGAAAUCAACCGAGAUUCCCCUAGUAGCGGCGAGCGAACGGGGAGCAGCCCAGAGUCUUAAUCAGCAUUAGCAUCAGGAGAACGGUCUGGAAAGGCCGGCAGUAAAGGGUGAUAGCCCCGUAUCCGAAGGUGUUAGUGUUGUGAACUCGACGAGUAGGGCGGGACACGUGUUAUCCUGUCUGAAUAUGGGGGGACCAUCCUCCAAGGCUAAAUACUCCUGAUUGACCGAUAGUGAACCAGUACCGUGAGGGAAAGGCGAAAAGAACCCCGGCGAGGGGAGUGAAAUAGAACCUGAAACCGUGUACGUACAAGCAGUGGGAGCCCCACCACCAAAGCAUUUUCUGGUGUUGAGGAGAACUUUGAAGUGACAUUCAACACGCGUUGGCGGAGCGUUUUUUGCGACGCCCAACACACAAAACAAGCAGUGAAUGUGCUUUGGGGUGGGGUGACUGCGUACCUUUUGUAUAAUGGGUCAGCGACUUAUAUUCUGUAGCAAGGUUAACCGUAUAGGGGAGCCGUAGGGAAACCGAGUCUUAACUGGGCGAAUAAGUUGCAGGGUAUAGACCCGAAACCCGGUGAUCUAGCCAUGGGCAGGUUGAAGGUUGGGUAACACUAACUGGAGGACCGAACCGACUAAUGUUGAAAAAUUAGCGGAUGACUUGUGGCUGGGGGUGAAAGGCCAAUCAAACCGGGAGAUAGCUGGUUCUCCCCGAAAGCUAUUUAGGUAGCGCCUCGUGAACUCAUCUUCGGGGGUAGAGCACUGUUUCGACUAGGGGGUCAUCCCGACUUACCAACUCGAUGCAAACUACGAAUACCGAAGAAUGUUAUCACGGGAGACACACGGCGGGUGCUAACGUUCGUCGUGAAGAGGGAAACAACCCAGACCGCCAGCUAAGGUCCCAAAGUCAUAGUUAAGUGGGAAACGAAGUGGGAAGGCUCAGACAGCCAGGAUGUUGGCUUAGAAGCAGCCAUCAUUUAAAGAAAGCGUAAUAGCUCACUGGUCGAGUCGGCCUGCGCGGAAGAUGUAACGGGGCUAAACUAUGCACCGAAGCUGCGGCAGCGAUAUGUAAAUAUUGUUGGGUAGGGGAGCGUUCUGUAAGCCUGUGAAGGUGUACUGUGAGGUAUGCUGGAGGUAUCAGAAGUGCGAAUGCUGACAUAAGUAACGAUAAUGCGGGUGAAAAACCCGCACGCCGGAAGACCAAGGGUUCCUGUCCAACGUUAAUCGGGGCAGGGUGAGUCGACCCCUAAGGCGAGGCAGAAAUGCGUAGUCGAUGGGAAACGGGUUAAUAUUCCCGUACUGGUGAUAAUUGCGAUGGGGGGACGGAGAAGGCUAGGCUAUCCGGGCGACGGUUGUCCCGGUUUAAGGAUGUAGGCAGGUGAAUUAGGCAAAUCCGGUU
rnacentral:rRNA from 1 species